rfam:Ictidomys tridecemlineatus contig086127, whole genome shotgun sequence.
GGUUGUGGCUUGGAGGUAGAGCACUUGCCUAGCAUGCAUGAGGCACUGGGUUCAAUCCUCAGCACCA